UCCCCUCCUUUCGUGCUUUGCUCGUGGCUCCCAUCCCCUCCUUCCCCUAAUUUUUAUUCCCAGUUUUUUUUUUGGGAUACGGAUGGAUCCGAGGGAAACUCUUGGAUUUCCCCACUCUCGUUGCUGCUACUCGUGUGCAUCCUCCUGCUCAGCUCUCCCCAAAACCUCUCAGCCCUUCCUUCUCUUCCCCCACUCUCUUGGGAUUUGCUUUUGGAAUUUGACUUUUGGAAUUCUACAUUUUUCCUUUUUUUAAAAAAUUUUUUCCGUUAUUUUCCUUUUUUUUAUUUUCCUUUUUUUCUCCAUUUUUUUUUCCUUUCCUCGUUUUUAUUUCUAAUUUCCUUGUCUUUUUAUUUUCCUUUUUUUCUCCAUUUUUUUUUCCUUUCCUCGUUUUUAUUUCUAAUUUCCUUGUCUUCCUUUAUUUUCCUUUUUUCCCUUUUUUUUCCUUUUUAUUUUCUUUUUUUCCCUUUUCUUUAUUUUCCCUUUUUUUAUUUUUCCCCUUUAUUUUCCUUUUUUCCCCUUAUUUUUCCCCCUUAUUUUGUUCUUUUUUUUUCCUUUUUCUCUUUUUUCCCUUUUUUCUUUUCCCCUUUUUUUUUCUUUACCCCAUUUUUUUCCUUUAUCUCCCUUUUUUUUGCAUUUAUCUCCUUUUUUUUCCUUUCUUUCCCUUUUUUCUUUUCUUUUUUCCCCUUUUAUUUUUCCUUUUUUUCCCCCUUUUUUCUCCCUUUUUUUUCCUUCUUUUCCCUUUUUUCUUUUCUUUUUUCCCUUUUUAUUUUUCCUUUUUUUCCCCCUUUUUUCUCUCUUUUUUUUCUUCUUUUCCCUUUUUCUUUUUUCCUUUUUCCCCUUUUUUCUUCUUUUUUUUCCUUCUUUUCCCUUUUUCCCCUUUUCUUUCCCCAUUUUUUCCUUUUUCCCUUUUUUCUUUUUUUCCCCCUUAUAUUUUCCUUUUUUUCCCCCUUAUUUUUUUUUCAUUUCCCCCCCUUUUUAUCUUUUUCCCCUUUUCCUUCAACUUUUUUCCCUCUUAUUUUUUUUCCUUUUCUCCCUUUAUUUUCUUCCCUUUUCCCCACAUUUUCCCCCACAUUUUUUUCCCCUUUACCCCCAUUUUCCCCCCUUUUUUUCCCCCUUUUUUUCCCCCCAUUUUUCCCCAUUUCCCGUUUUUCCGUGCCGGUUCCGGCGCUGUUCCGGAGGUUCCCGUGCUGGGUUUGGGUUUUUCUCUCCCUGCUGGUGUGUGUGGGCUCCUUUCCCGUCGGCAGGCGCUGGUUGGUGUCGGGUGUUUGCUGCAAUCCGUGUAAAAGCAUCGUGACUGCAAAUAAAACUCCGUGGUUUCUACUCCGCCGGCUCUGCUGCGCCCGAGAGCCCCCAAAUUCACCCCAAAAUCCAUCCUGGAGCCCAAAAUCCAUCCUGGAGCCCUGA
rnacentral:lncRNA from 1 species